AGUCGAACGGUUGGUAGCAAUACCAAUAGUGGCGCACGGGUGCGUAACGCGUAACCAACCUACCCGAAUCUGGGGGAUAGCCCGCCGAAAGGCGGAUUAAUACCGCAUAAAACUGCAGCCUGGCGUCAGGUAACAGUUAAAGAUUUAUUGGAUUCGGAUGGGGUUGCGUGCCAUUAGCUAGUUGGCGGGGUAACGGCCCACCAAGGCGACGAUGGCUAGGGGAGCUGAGAGGCUGGUCCCCCACACGGGCACUGAGAUACGGGCCCGACUCCUACGGGAGGCAGCAGUAGGGAAUAUUGGGCAAUGGGCGAGAGCCUGACCCAGCCAUGCCGCGUGCAGGAUGAAGGCUUUCUGAGUCGUAAACUGCUUUUACCAGGGAAGAAAAAAGGGGAUGCGUCCUCUACUGACGGUACCUGGUGAAUAAGCACCGGCUAACUCCGUGCCAGCAGCCGCGGUAAUACGGAGGGUGCAAGCGUUGUCCGGAUUUAUUGGGUUUAAAGGGUGCGUAGGCGGCUGAUUAAGUCUGGGGUGAAAGCCCGUUGCUCAACAACGGAACUGCCCUGGAAACUGGUUAGCUUGAGUACAGACGAGGGUGGCGGAAUGGAUACUGUAGCGGUGAAAUGCAUAGAUAGUAUCCAGAACCCCGAUUGCGAAGGCAGCUGCCUAGACUGUAACUGACGCUGAGGCACGAAAGCGUGGGGAGCGAACA
rnacentral:rRNA from 1 species